CUACGGGUGGCAGCAGUGGGGAAUAUUGCACAAUGGGCGCAAACCUGAUGCAGCCAUGCCGCGUGUAUGAAGAAGGCCUUCGGGUUGUAAAGUACUUUCAGCGGGGAGGAAGGGAGUAAAGUUAAUACCUUUGCUCAUUGACGUUACCCGCAGAAGAAGCACCGGCUAACUCCGUGCCAGCAGCCGCGGUAAUACGGGGGGUGCAAGCGUUAAUCGGAAUUACUGGGCGUAAAGCGCACGCAGGCGGUUUGUUAAGUCAGAUGUGAAAUCCCCGGGCUCAACCUGGGAACUGCAUCUGAUACUGGCAAGCUUGAGUCUCGUAGAGGGGGGUAGAAUUCAAGGUGUAGCGGUGAAAUGCGUAGAGAUCUGGAGGAAUACCGGUGGCGAAGGCGGCCCCCUGGACGAAGACUGACGCUCAGGUGCGAAAGCGUGGGGAGCAAACAGGAUUAGAUACCCGGGUAGUC
rnacentral:rRNA from 1 species